UGCAGCCACAAAUCCCAAAGUUAUUUCAAAGCUAAAACCUGUUUGUUUUUUCUGUUUUUUCUUUCAGCUGCUGUCUCAUAUCCAAUUCCAACAUUUCACAAAGCAUUUCCUGAGGAAUUCAGUCUUCUCAGCCUGCCCUGCUGCUGUCUAUCCAGCCUACGUCCUUUCCUCCAUUCCAUCUGAAAUUCUCAAACCU
rnacentral:lncRNA from 1 species